rnacentral:rRNA from 1 species
AUUGAACGCUGGCGGCAUGCUUUACACAUGCAAGUCGAACGGUAACAGGCCGCAAGGUGCUGACGAGUGGCGUACGGGUGAGUAAUGCAUCGGAACGUGCCCAGUCGUGGGGGGUAACUACUCGUAAGAGUAGCUAAUACCGCAUACGAUCUAUGGAUGAGAGCGGGGGACCGUACGGCCUCGCGCGAUUGGAUCGGCCGAUGUCAGAUUAGGUAGUUGGCGGGGUAUAGGCUCACCAAGCCAACGAUCUGUAGCUCGUCUGAGAGGACGACCAGCCACACUGGGACUGAGAAACGGCCGCGACUCCUGCGGGAGGCAGCAGUGGGGAAUUUUGGACAAUGGGGGCAAGCCUGAUCCAGCAAUGCCGCGUGCAGGAAGAAGGCCUUCGGGUUGGAAACUGCUUUUGUACGGAACGAAACGGCUCUGGUUAAUACCCGGAGCUAAUGACGGUACCGUAAGAAUAAGCACCGGCUAACUACGUG